rnacentral:rRNA from 1 species
CAAAGAGCUUGGUCUCUGGUGACGAGUGGCGGACGGGUGAGUAAUGUCUGGGAAACUGCCUGAUGGGGGGGGAUAACUACUGGAAACGGUAGCUAAUACCGCAUAACGUCUCAAGACCAAAGAGGGGGACCUUCUGGCCUCUUGCCAUCUCAUGUGCCCCCAUGGGAUUAUCUAGUAGGUGGGGUAACGGCUCUCCUAUGCGACAAUCCCUAUCUGGUCUGAGAGGAUGACCACCCACACUGUAACUGAGACACGGUCCACACUCCUACGGGAGGCGGCAGUGGGGAAUAUUGCGCAAUGGGCGCAAGCCUGAUGCACCCCUGCCGCGUGUAUGAAAAAAGCCUUCUGGUUGUAAAGUACUUUCUCCGGGGAGGAAAGUGUUGUGGUUAAUAACCCCUCCAAUUGACGUUACCCGCACAAAAAACACCGGCUAACUCCCUGCCCCCACCCGCGGUAAUACGGAGGGUGCGAGCGUUAAUCUCAAUUACUGGGCGUAAAGCGCACGCACGCGGUCUGUCAAGUCUGAUGUGAAAUCCCCGGGCUCUACCUGGGAACUGCGUUCUAAACUGGGAGGCUGGAGUCUUGUGUAGAGGGGUAGAAUUCCACGUGUAUCGCUGAGAUGCGUAUAGAUCUCGAGGAGUAUCGGUGGCGAAAGCGGCCCCCUGUACAAAGACUGACACUCACGUGCGAAAGCGUGUGGAGAACACACGAUUAUAUACCCUGUGAGUCCACGCCGCAUACGAUGUCUAUUUGUAGGUUGUGCGCUCGAGGCGUGUCUUCCGGAGCUAUCACGUUAUAUCGACAGCCUGUGGAGUACAGCCGCGAGUGAUAACUCACAUGAGUAUGACACGGGCCCGCACACGCGGUGGAGCAUGUGGUUUUAUUUCUAUGCAACACGAAAAGACUCUAUCCUGUUCUUUGACAUCCUCCAGAGCUCUUCCACAGAUGUAUUGGUGGCCUCUCUCGAACUGUCAGACACGUGCUGCUAUGUGCUGUCGUCACGUCGUCGUGUGAAAUGUUGUGUUAAAUCCCCCACAAGAGCACCCCUU